AAGGAAAUUUUUUAAAUGAGCCUGAUGCCAGCCAGAUACCCACAAAAUGAUCACAAAGCCAGUUACAGAGACAGAUCUGGCCGUUGCAAACUACAUGCCUUUGCUUGGCAGUGAAUUACCAGUUAAUCACUGAACCUCUGGGUAAGUGCCUAAAGAACACACAGAUUCCAGCUUUGGCAAAAUGAGACAGCUCUCUUCAACAUUAGCAGCUUCACCGCCUCCAAUGGUUUGCAGGUUAUUUCCUCACCAUGUCUACAUCUUCUUUCUGAUCUUCAAAGCAAUAAAGACCUGGCUUCCUCA